CCUACGGGGGACAGCAGUGAGGAAUAUUGGUCAAUGGACGAGAGUCUGAACCAGCCAAGUAGCGUGAAGGAUGACUGCCCUAUGGGUUGUAAACUUCUUUUAUAAAGGAAUAAAACGAGGCACGUGUGCCUUUUUGCAUGUACUUUAUGAAUAAGGAUCGGCUAACUCCGUGCCAGCAGCCGCGGUAAUACGGAGGAUCCGAGCGUUAUCCGGAUUUAUUGGGUUUAAAGGGAGCGUAGGCGGGUUGUUAAGUCAGUUGUGAAAGUUUGCGGCUCAACCGUAAAAUUGCAGGUGAUACUGGCAGCCUUGAGUACAGUAGAGGUAGGCGGAAUUCGUGGUGUAGCGGUGAAAUGCUUAGAUAUCACGAAGAACUCCGAUUGCGAAGGCAGCCUGCUGGACUGUAACUGACGCUGAUGCUCGAAAGUGUGGGUAGCAAACAGGAUUAGAUACCCCUGUAGUC
rnacentral:rRNA from 1 species